rnacentral:rRNA from 1 species
GAUGAACGCUAGCGGCAGGCCUAAUACAUGCAAGUCGAGCGGCAAGUUGAGAAGCAAUUCGAGACCUAGAGCGGCGUACGGGUGCGUAACGCGUAUGCAACCUACCUCAUACAGGGGGAUAGCCCGGAGAAAUCUGGAUUAAUACCCCAUAGUACAUAUAGAGGGCAUCUGAAAUAUGUUAAAGAUUCAUCGGUAUGAGAUGGGCAUGCGUCUGAUUAGCUAGUUGGCGGUGUAACGGACCACCAAGGCGACGAUCAGUAGGGGUUCUGAGAGGAAGGUCCCCCACACUGGCACUGAGAUACGGGCCAGGCUCCUACGGGAGGCAGCAGUAGGGAAUAUUGGGCAAUGGUCGGAAGACUGACCCAGCCAUGCCGCGUGCAGGGAGAAGGCCCUCUGGGUUGUAAACUGCUUUUAUCUGGGAAGAAAAGGCCCGUGCGCGGGACAUUGCCGGUACCAGAUGAAUAAGCACCGGCUAACUCCGUGCCAGCAGCCGCCGUAACAC